rnacentral:rRNA from 1 species
UAGGGAAUCUUCGGCAAUGGGGGCAACCCUGACCGAGCAACGCCGCGUGAGUGAAGAAGGUUUUCGGAUCGUAAAGCUCUGUUGUAAGAGAAGAACGAGUGUGAGAGUGGAAAGUUCACACUGUGACGGUAACUUACCAGAAAGGGACGGCUAACUACGUGCCAGCAGCCGCGGUAAUACGUAGGUCCCGAGCGUUAUCCGGAUUUAUUGGGCGUAAAGCGAGCGCAGGCGGUUAGAUAAGUCUGAAGUUAAAGGCUGUGGCUUAACCAUAGUACGCUUUGGAAACUGUUUAACUUGAGUGCAGAAGGGGAGAGUGGAAUUCCAUGUGUAGCGGUGAAAUGCGUAGAUAUAUGGAGGAACACCGGUGGCGAAAGCGGCUCUCUGGUCUGUAACUGACGCUGAGGCUCGAAAGCGUGGGGAGCAAACAGGAUUAGAUACCCUGGUAGUCCACGCCGUNNCGAUGAGUGCUAGGUGUUGGGUCCUUUCCGGGACUCAGUGCCGCAGCUAACGCAUUAAGCACUCCGCCUGGGGAGUACGACCGCAAGGUU